rnacentral:lncRNA from 1 species
UUUUUCUCUCUUUCUUCUUUUUUUUGUUUUUUUGUUUAUUAACUUCCUGAUAUGGAUAUGAAAUCCAGUAACAAACAAAACUCACCAAUAUUAAUCAUUUAAAAUCAUUAAUACUAUUAAUAACAUAAUAAAAGACAACAUAAACUAAACAAAUAAAAAAAAAAGCAGAUACGUGAUGUUUAGAAAAACAAACACACAGAGAGUUAUCU